rnacentral:rRNA from 1 species
CCUACGGGAGGCAGCAGUGGGGAAUAUUGGGCAAUGGGCGCAAGCCUGACCCAGCAACGCCGCGUGAAGGAAGAAGGCUUUCGGGUUGUAAACUUCUUUUGUCAGGGACGAAGCACGUGACGGUACCUGACGAAUAAGCCACGGCUACCUACGUGCCAGCAGCCGCGGUAAGACGUAGGUGGCAAGCGUUAUCCGGAUUUACUGGGUGUAAAGGGCGUGUAGGCGGGGAGGCAAGUCAGUUGUGACAACCACGGGCUCCUCCUGAGGCCUGCAUUUGAAACUGUUUUUCUUGCGUGCUGGGGAGGCAAUCGGAAUUCCGUGUGUAGCGGUGAAAUGCGUAGAUAUACGGAGGAACACCAGUGGCGCAGGCGGCUUGCUGGACAGUAACUGACGCUGAGGCGCGAAAGCGUGGGGAGCAAACAGGAUUAGAUACCCGAGUAGUC